GCUCGAUUAGCUCAGUUGGUUAGAGCGUGGUGCUAAUAACGCCAAGGUCACAGGUUCGACCCCUGUAUCGAGCA